rnacentral:rRNA from 1 species
CCGGCAACGGAUAUCUCGGCUCUCGCAUCGAUGAAGAACGUAGCGAAAUGCGAUACAUGGUGUGAAUUGCAGAAUCCCGUGAACCAUCGAGUCUUUGAACGCAAGUUGCGCCCGAGGGUUCAUCCCGAGGGCACGC